UAAAAAUGGUAGAGAAAAAAUUAGGGGAAAAUGAGAGCUAUGCAAGAAAAUUAUGAAAAAAGAAUCGACAGUAAGAAAUAGCUCAAUCAAGAGAAUGGGAAAAUGAGAAAUGGUUGGUGGGUGAGAUGUAUGGAAAGAGAGUUGUAGUGAGUGAGAGAUUCCUGGCUGGAGAUAGCUGCACUUUGAGGUAUGUGUGAAAGCAGAGGCCUGAGCAGUGAAACAGGGAUAGGCAGGAAAGCGUGAAAGGAGAGAGCUUGAAAAGGAAAUAGGGAAUGUUUGGAGCGAUCCAGAGAGUGAGAAACAGGUUAAGAGAGAGAAGGAUAACUGAUGUUUGGCUACUUAGAAAGACCAGCUGAGUGAGAAAUGCAACCUCUGAGUGAUGGAUGAAUGGGUAUACCUAGAGAGUGAGAGAUGAAUAGAUGAAGGGAAACAGAGAAGGAGAGAAUUUAUUGAGAAGGACAGAAAGGGUAAUUUAGGGUUAGGGGUUAACUAGCAAAAGGCUGAAUGGAUAGACCCAGAAUGUGAGAAAUGACAGGAUAGUGAAAUCUAGAUGGUAGAAAACGAAUGACUGGCAAGAAGCAUAUGAAGUGAAAUAGUUGAAAUGAAAAUUGGCAAGGCAGAGAUGAGUGAAUGUUUAUAGCUUGGCAAAGGGAAAUGGAUGGUUAGACUGUCAGAGAAGAAUACAUGAAAGACAAGACAUACUUGGUCAGAGAUGGGUGAGUGUAUAGAUCAAAAAGGGAGACGGAGGAAAUUUAGAACUCAAAAUCUUAUGGAAGUGAAUGCUGAAAACUAAAAAUAAAUAAAUAAAUAAAUUUUUAAAAGUGGACAGUUUUGUGAUUGGAGAGAGAUAGAAAUUGAAAAAUAGAUGACUACAGAGAUCUAGACAAGGACAGGUGAAUGAAUGGCAAGACCUAAACAUUCAGAGACUGAUGUUUGAAAAGGUCUUGGGAGGCAUAAAAGAAUGAAUGGUUAAAAGAAAAAGGCAAGGGAUGAAUGGAAGAGCAAACUAGACAGUAAGAGAUGGAUGAAUGGAGAAAUUGGUAAAAUGAGAGAUGGAUGGUUAGCAACCAAAAAGUUAGGGAUGCCCGGAAAGAGAACUGUACCAAGUGAGAGGUUCUUGUCUGGAGAUACCAGCACAGUGAAUAUACAUGAAAGGAGAAGUCCUACCAGUAAAGGGUGGACAGACAGGUCAAGAAACACAGAGAGCCAGGAAAGGAAGAUUUUAAGAAUUAGACAUGGAAUGUAUGCUGAGAUCCUGACAUCGAGGGACAGGUGAAAAGACAAAUCUACAAAGUGAGGUUUAGAUGCUUAGAAAGACAACCAAAGUGAGAAACGGAAGGGUAAACUAAAGUACCAAGUCAGAAUUACAUGCUUAGAAAAACCUAUACUGGAAGUGGUCGAUGAUACAGGGAGAUAUGGAUUAAUGGAGAGGCUUAGGCAGGGACUGAUGGAUUAUUUGGAGCGACAGAUGGGACUUAGGUGUGGAUACCAGGAAGGAGGUACACAGGCUGAAAGAGCAGACAAAAGGGAAGGGUAGAAUGAGAGUGGGAAGAACAGAAGAGCCUGGGAGGGAAAGGAAGAUAGAAGAAUAGGAGGGUCAGGAGAGACCAAGACAGACCCACAUGGAGCUAUACAACAGACUGAGAAAAUGCAACGGAUCAAGUAACAGAAGGAGUGGAUCUAUGGAUAGAGGAAUACAGCCACAGGUCAUCAAACAGCAAUCCUGAGAGAUGAACACUUUCAGCCUUGGUGAAUACCUCAUGAGUCCAGGAGAUCCAGAGGCUUCGAAUCAGAUGCUAGUUGCCCAGUGGGAAGUGUUUCUUGCAACUGGAUCCUUUUUUGGAGGAGUGAACGUACACUGAAGAUGGCAUGGAUCUAGUGCCCUCGAAAGGCCAGAAGCGUGAGAGCUGGAGUCCAAGGCAAAGUCUGUAAUCUGCCUAGCCUGGUCUGCCAACACAGUCCCACGGAACGACGGGGAUCCAGCUCAGCUGCCAAGACGCCAGAAAGUGACUCUGCCCAUUGGCUGUGCCACGUUCAGGAUGCGCUGUAGCAAAGGCUUUGAGUUGGACCCCACUCUCCUCGGGGACCAAAGUGGGACAGAGGCUUUUGGGGGAGAAAACAGACUUCUGUUCUUGCUGUAUCUUCUCAGUGAAUAGACCUUUAUAACAGCAAAUUGAAGUCAACUGGUGAAAUGCAGGCAAUGAUGAUCAAGCAAAUCACCGGGGGGGGGGGGUAGAUA